rnacentral:lncRNA from 1 species
AUAAAAAAGAAUUAACUGAGCCACAUAUGCAGCUGGCAGUGGGUAGCAAAGGAAUGAACAGUGAUUUAGUAAAUAUACAUACCUUAGCUACAAAACCAGAAAUAUAUGUAUGUAGUACUGUGGGAAAGAAUGGAGGCACACAUUUUACUGAUGAUUCAGGGGUACAUGCAGAUGUACUAAACUUAUUCCUAGAAUAUAAUAACAGAGGGGGAAAGAUUUCUAUCUCUACACAGUCAAAAGAGAGUGAAGAUGAACAUAAACCUCAGACUGGUGAUAGAGUAGUACCUAUGAUUAGUAACAACAUUGAAUAUCUGAAAGAAGAAACUAACCCCAUACCAUCAAGUUUACCAAUUCAAAAUGAAAAUCUAAAGCUUAGUAGUGAGAAACAAUCAGAAACUGAUUUAGGAAAGAUAAAAACUGGUGACUUGGGCUUAGAUCAACACACAAAGCCAGAGUUACCAACAUCUGACACAAGAUUACAUGACACUGAACAAAAUCCAAGUAACAAAAGGAUUGGAUUCAGUGAGUCAGAUUCAGAUACUGAAUCAGAAGGAAUACCAGAGGGUAUAAUAAUAAUAAUGGAUCAAGAUGAUUUAGAACAAAUGCCUUGCCAAUUUUAUAAGCUUUAUGAAGAGGUAGAUGAAGAAGGGGAUGUGUGGGACACAAGUGAGAAAGUUGAAUACCUGAAACCAGUACAAUCAAAAUCUCACCACGUCUGUGAUGAUGAGAUAUUCUUUGGGCAUAGAACAAGUUGCAUACCAUUGGAAGAACUUUAUGCUAGAUUAGGGAUUGAUAAUGAAGAUGACUUUACAGAGAAGUUGAAUUACAUGGCUUGUACAGAUACAGAUUUUGAAUGGGAAGGUGGAUAUCAAGGAACAUAUUGAGAACUGGAGGAGGAGAAAUAGAUACACAAUUUCACAUCUAUUCUCUAACUUCAAAAAUAUGACAAGUACCAUUCAUGCUGUAACAGUGAAACCAAGUUCUAUAGGGUAACAUACUACACAAAACGCUAUGAGAAUGAAGGCUGGUCUUAGGUAGAAAAGAAGAACAACUAGGUAAUUCAACAAUGAGUACACUUCUAAACUUGUAGCAUACAACUCCAACUUCAUAACUAGGACAGACACAAACACUUAGAAUGCUAUAGUAGCAUAGAUUCACAUUGGAUGAAUUUGUU